rnacentral:rRNA from 1 species
CGCACGGGUGAGUAACACGUAUGCAACCUGGCCGUGACAGAUGGAUAACCCGGAGAAAUCCGGCCUAAUACCGCAUGUGGCCGAGGGGAGGCAUCUUCUUUCGGCCAAAGGAGGCGACUCCGGAGACGGAUGGGCAUGCGUGACAUUAGCUAGUUGGCGGGGUAACGGCCCACCAGGCGACGAUGUCUAGGGGUUCUGAGAGGAAGGUCCCCCACACUGGUACUGAGACACGGACCAGACUCCUACGGGAGGCAGCAG